AGAAUCAACGCUGGCGGCGUGCCUAACACAUGCAAGUCGAACGAGAAAGUGGAGCAAUCCAUGAGUAAAGUGGCGACCGGGUGAGUAACACGUGACUAACCUACCUUCGAGUGGGGGAUAACCUCGGGAAACCGGGGCUAAUACCGCAUAACAUCUUUGAAGUGGAAAUUUCGGAGAUCAAAGGGGCAAUUCGCUUGGAGAGGAGUUCGCGGCCGAUUAGCUAGUUGGCGGGGUAAUGGCCCACCAAGGCGAUGAUCGGUA
rnacentral:rRNA from 1 species